rnacentral:rRNA from 1 species
GACGAACGCUGGCGGCGUGCUUAACACAUGCAAGUCGAACGGAAAGGCCCCUUUGGGGGUACUCGAGUGGCGAACGGGUGAGUAACACGUGAGUAACCUGCCCUUGACUUCGGGAUAACUUCAGGAAACUGGGGCUAAUACCGGAUAGGAAUCCUUGCUGCAUGGUGGGGGUUGGAAAGCUUCGGCGGUUUUGGAUGGACUCGCGGCUUAUCAGCUUGUUGGUGGGGUAGUGGCUUACCAAGGCUUUGACGGGUAGCCGGCCUGAGAGGGCGACCGGCCACAUUGGGACUGAGAUACGGCCCAGACUCCUACGGGAGGAAGCAGUGGGGAAUAUUGCACAAUGGGCGGAAGCCUGAUGCAGCAACGCCGCGUGCGGGAGGACGGCCUUCGGGUUGUAAACCGCUUUCAGCAGGGGCGAAGCUUGUGGUGACGGUACCUGCAGAAGAAGCACCGGCUAACUACGUG